rnacentral:rRNA from 1 species
GUAAGAAUCUUGCGCAAUGGGCGAAAGCCUGACGCAGCAAUUCCGCGUGGGGGACGAAGGCCCUCGGGUCGUAAACCCCUUUUACGAGGGAAGAAGUUCUGACGGUACCUCGUGAAUAAGACACGGCUAACUACGUG